rnacentral:lncRNA from 1 species
AUUUUUCAGGUAUUACGGGCGGUGAAAUUGGGACGAGACGUGAGAUACGUACGUAGCGGUCGAUAGAGUUUCCGACCCAAGUUAUUCGGUUUAGUUUCUACCCUUACUAUUCUAUUGAUAUAGUUUAGAUAGUUUAUAUGGUUCAGUAUUUUUAUUACAUUUGAAAAUGUAGGUUUUCAUGAAUGUAAUAAAUGGAUUUGUGAAUUUUGUGAAAUGAAAAAUAGUUUUCUACUCCUCGUGGUAGCGCGUUUUAAAAGAAAAUAGUUUCCGGAUGAGAAACAGCUUUCAAAAGAUUUUUCGUAGUUUUCAUAACUUAGUAUUUCAAAACCCGUUUCUGAGUUGGAAACGUUUUAACUAAUAAUUGUGAUUUUAUGUUCAAAUAAUGAAUGUGAACCUGUGCUGAAUGGUGUAUGGAUAUAUAUAGAUGUUGGAUGUCUGUAUGUUCAGUGUAGUGGUUGUAUCCUGGUUAUACUCUUGUACUUGUGCAACGCCGUACAAAUACAGGGAAGACUCUGUCCGUGUGAACAGUAGAUUCCUUGUAUUUGUGGCAGAUCUGGCAUACCCUGAGGUCAGGUUUUCAAAAAAAAAAAAUUUCGCUGUAUUUUAACCUAAAAGGGACCCCGAGGCGUGACAUAAAUUUAUUAAAAUAAGUAAUUGAUUUAGUUUUUGGAGUCAAAGUGCUGACGUCUAACUCAAAUCAAACAAAUAAAAAUAAUGGGUAGUAAAAUCAAAUUUGUAAAAGUUUGAGUAGUUGUCCGAAAUAGUUCAUUGUUCAGGUAAGUUCUGUAUAUUUUUGUUUUUAAUCUUUUUAUUGUUAAGAAUAUGUGCGGCUAAUCUGAACUUUAGAUCAUUUAAAAAUAACUUUUAAUUUUAUGACUUUUUUAUUUUAGUUGUUUAUUAAUUUU